GAUGAACGCUGGCGGCGUGCUUAACACAUGCAAGUCGAACGAAGCACUUUACUUGAUUUUCUUCGGAACUGAUUGUACUGUGACUGAGUGGCGGACGGGUGAGUAACGCGUGGAUAACCUGCCUCACACAGGGGGAUAACAGUUGGAAACGGCUGCUAAUACCGCAUAAGCGCACAGCACCGCAUGGUGCAGUGUGAAAAACUCCGGUGGUGUGAGAUGGAUCCGCGUCUGAUUAGGCAGUUGGCGGGGUAACGGCCCACCAAACCGACGAUCAGUAGCCGGCCUGAGAGGGCGACC
rnacentral:rRNA from 1 species